UACUGGUGGCCCAGAGUGAGAACUGCAGCCAGGCUGAAUACAUAACACUUCCAAAGCAGAGGUUUUUUUGUCAAGGCUUUAAUUUGGCCUGUCAAAUCCAAAACUGAUUUUGUAUUCUUUUCGAUUUGAGUUGCCAAAACAUUCACAUUUUCCUUCAUAUCUUUAUAUAUCUUUCCUCAGUUCUGCUAAAAGCUCCGCCAUCUCCGAUCUAGAUUCCUCCUCCUGAGCUGAAGACUUUCUGCUCUGGGUUGGUGUUUUGGGGGGGGGGGGUUGGCAGCCAUUUCCACUCCUAAUUUUCACUCAGAUGAAACAAAUAGAGUGCAAAAAUUAAUCCAUCUUUUGUGCACCUUAAGGUACCCCUUUACUCCCACCUUUCCUAGCCUCUUUAUUGUUUUUUAAAACUUUUAUUUUACUUAAAACAAGUACAUAUAAAUAUAGACAACCAAAAUUAAAGGAAAAUUCCUUAAUAGUAAUGAAAAAAAACUGGGGAAAAAACUACAAAAAAUAUUGAAGUACAUGACACAGAACAUAAGCAACUAUGGGAAAGAUAAAAGAAAAAGAUGAGCCAAAGCAGGAAAGCGCAUCUAUUGUACAUGUCCGUCAAGCUCACAACAGAUCAUUAUUCUUAUCAAUUCUCUCUAUCUGCAUUCCAAAGGAAUCCCUCAUCUUGGUAUCAGGGAGCAUUUCUCUAUGCGGUAUCAUUCUAAACAUAGCCAGGUCUUUCUUGUUAAGCCCUUGUCCCCUAAAUAAUUAUUUAGACAUUCCCAUUCUUCUUUCACCAUUUUUUAAGGUUUAUCUCUUAUUGCAUCUGUCAGCUUUGUGAGCUCCAAGUACUCGCACAAUUUGACUACACAUUCCUCUUUAGUGGUUGUAUUUUUAUCUUUCCAGUGUUUUGCCACUAUAACUCUUGCUGCUGACGUUGCAUACAUAAAUAGCCUAGUUUUGUUUUUGGGAAUAUUAUCUGAAACCAUUCCUAGUAAAAAUUCUUCCGGUUUCUUGCAAAAUGUAGUUUUCAUCAAUCUCUUUAUCUCUUCAUAAAUCAUAUUCCAAAAUCUUUCAUCUCUAGACAGGACCACCACAUAUGGUAGUAUGUUGCUAUCUGUUCCUUACAUCGCCAGCACUCGUUAUUGUUUGAUUUAUUUAUUUUUGCAAGUUUUACAGGGGUCAGGUACCACCUAUAGUAGAUUUUCAUAAGAUUUCCCCUUAUAAGGAAACAAGCCAUGAAUUUUAUAUUUUUAGCCCAUAAUUCAUUCCAAAUAUUGGGUUUGAUCAUAUGUCCCAGGUCCCUCUCCCAUUUUACUGUAAUUUCUUUGAUAUCUUCCUCCUUUCUUUGCCAAUUCAAAAGUAGUUUGUACAUUUUAGAAAGUAUCUUUUGAUUAUUAUAUAAAAUAUCCUUCUCCAGAUAGGAUAUUUUUUUGUCAAAUCCUUUGGUUCUUUUAUCCUUUUCAAGGGCGGCUUUUAGUUGAUAGUACUCCAGCCAGGUUAUUCCCUUCUGUUUCAAUUCGCUUAGGCCCUUUAUUUUCGGAUCACUACUUGUUUCCUCUACUAAAUCCUUAUAUGUUAGCCAAUCGCUGUUCAUAUUUAUCCUGUGAACUGACAUAGAUUCCAUUGGUGACGGCCACCAUGGUGUUUUGGUUACUAUUGAUUUUUUACUCCUCUCCCAUACUUCAUAUAAUGCCCUUCUCACAAUAUGGUUUAAAAAUCCUUUGUGGGAUUUAACCUUGUCAUAGCCUAUGUAGCCAUGCCACCUGUACACAAUAUCCCAUCCCUCCAGAUCUAGGACUUCUGUGUUUUUGAUUAAUAUCCAGUCCUUAAUCCAUGUCCAGCACGCUGCCUCAAAGUACAGUUUAAGGUCAGGGACCACAAAGCCUCCUUUUUCCUUCAACUCUGUUAGUAGCUUAAAUUUUAUGCGUGGUUUUUUCCGUUGCCAAAUAAACUUGGCAAGGUCUUUCUGCCAUUCCUUAAAACACUUUACACCUCUAAUUAUAGGUAUUGUUUGGAACAUAAAAAUCAUCUUUGGCAAUACCAUCAUUUUAACUGUAGAUAUUCUCCCCCAUAGGGACAAAUUCAAUUUUCCCCAAAUCUCUAAUUCUUUUUUUAUUUCCUUCCACUUCUCAUAAUUGUCCUUAUAUAAGUUUAUAUUCUUAUUGGUGAUCCAAACCCCCAAAUAAUUUACCUUAUUGGCUACAUUUAAACCUGUUGUAUUUUCCAGUUCCUCUUGUUCCGACUUACGUAAAUUUUUCAUUAAUAAUUUGGAUUUUCCUUUAUUCAGUUUGAACCCAGAGACCUUACCAAAUUCUUCCAGUUGUGCAAGCAUUUUUUGGAUACUUUCCACUGGGUUUUCAGUGGUUACGAUUACAUCAUCUGCAAAGGCUUUAAUUUUAUAGUAUUGAGUUCCCAGGUUAAUUCCUCUUAUGUUUUUAUCCUUUCUUAUUGCUAUUAAAAGUUUCCUAGCCUCUUUAAAUAGCUAACAAAUCUCACACCAAAUAUAAAAAAUGGUCUAGAUGUUUUCCCCUUUGUCUUCUAGUUUUCCAAAAUCCUUCAGUCAGUCUCAGUUCUCAAAAGCUCUGUCUCAAAGGAAGAAGAGCUAUUUUAAACCUUAUCACUGCACGUCAAGGCCACCAAGGUUGGUUUGCAUGAAUUACAGAGAGCCUUUAUAUCUUCUACCAUCUGUCCCCCCAUCUUCCCAUCAGACAUUUGUAUUAAUACGAAUUGAUAUGUUCACAAACUUAAACUUACAAAUUUAAAGACAGUAGAAAACGCAU